UGCCUCAGUAACGGCGAGUGAAGCGGCAACAGCUCAAAUUUGAAAUCUGGCCUCGCGGUCCGAGUUGUAAUUUGCAGAGGACGUCUCGGGCGCGACGCCGGUCGAAGUUCCUUGGAACAGGACGUCACAGAGGGUGAGAAUCCCGUACGUGACCGGCGAUCAACCCCACGCGAGACCCCUUCGACGAGUCGAGUUGUUUGGGAAUGCAGCUCUAAAUGGGUGGUAAAUUUCAUCUAAAGCUAAAUACCGGCCAGAGACCGAUAGCGCACAAGUAGAGUGAUCGAAAGAUGAAAAGCACUUUGGAAAGAGAGUGAAACAGUACGUGAAAUUGUUGAAAGGGAAGCGCUGGCAACCAGACUUGCUCGCGGGGGAUCCGCCGUCCUGCGGGGCGGCGUACCGAUCCGCGAGCAGGCCAGCAUCGGUUCCGGCGGCCGGAUAACAGGGGCGGGAACGUAGCUUCCUCCGGGGAGUGUUAUAGCCCGUCCCACCAUGCGGUCAGCCGGGACCGAGGACCGCGC
rnacentral:rRNA from 1 species